rnacentral:rRNA from 1 species
CACGUAGGGUGCGAGCGUUGUCCGGAAUUAUUGGGCGUAAAGAGCUCGUAGGCGGUGUGUCGCGUCGGCCGUGAAAACCUGCAGCUUAACUGUGGGCUUGCGGUCGAUACGGGCAUCACUGGAGUUCGGCAGGGGAGACUGGAAUUCCUGGUGUAGCGGUGAAAUGCGCAGAUAGUCAGGAGGAACACCGGUGGCGAAGGCGGG